ensembl:lncRNA
GGAGCCUGGUGGGCUGCAAUCCUUGGGGUUGCAAAGAGUCAGACAUGACUGAGUGACUUCACUUUCACUUUUCACUUUCAUGCAUUGGAGAAGGAAAUGGCAACCUACUCCAGUGUUCUUGCCUGGAGAAUCCCAGGGACAGGGGAGCCUCGUGGGCUGCUGUCUAUGGGGUCGCACAGAGUUGGACACGACUGAAGUGACUUAGCAGCAGCAGUGAUUGAAAAUGCAUCCAAAUCAGAAUCACUGCAUUUCAUCUCACUUCAGAAGUCCUCAAAUGCAAGAAGAACCACCAGGGAGCAGGAGGAAGAAAAGGAGGAAGAAGACAAGAAUUCUGCCAUCACAUGGCUUCUUUAUUGUGAUCAGGAAUUUCCGGAUGCUUUGUUGUCAACUGCACGAAGUCAGAUAUACUCAAUAUUUUUAA